ACCCCCCCACGCUGACCCCCCCACGCUGACCCCCCCCACGCUGACCCCCCCACACUGAGCCCCCCCAUGAGCACAUCACAAACGGGCCAUGACAUCACAUACUAACAAUGAGGUCACGGCCCAGCGAUGAGGUCACGGCCCAGCGAUGAGGUCACGGCCCAGCGAUGAGGUCACGGCCCAGCGAUGAGGUCACGGCCCAGCGAUGAGGUCACGGCCCAGCGAUGAGGUCACGGCCCAGCGAUGAGGUCACGGCCCAGCGAUGAGGUCACGGCCCAGCGAUGAGGUCACGGCCCAGCGAUGAGGUCACGGCCCUCAUCAGUUUGUCUGCCUACCUGUUCCCUAUUCCUGGUCCGUCCAUCUGCCCUCCCGUUGCCGACCUCUGCCCGCCGACUACCCUCUGCCUGUCGACCCAGUCCCCCAAUAAAGCCUUGUACUUAU